AUUGAACGCUGGCGGCAGGCUUAACACAUGCAAGUCGAACGAGUGGCGGACGGGUGAGUAAUGCUUGGGAAUCUAGCUUAUGGAGGGGGAUAACUACGGGAACCUGUAGCUAAUACCGCGUACCAUAGGAUGAGCCCAUGUGGGAUUAGGUAGUUGGGGGGGUAAAGGCUCACCAAGCCGACGGUCUCUAGCUGGUCGGAGAGGAGGAUCAGCAACACUGGGACUGAGAAACGGCCCAGCCUCCUACGGGAGGCAGCAGUGGGGAAUAUUGCACAAUGGGCGCAAGCCUGAUGCAGCCAUGCAGCGUGUAUGAAGAAGGCCUUAGGGUUGUAAAGUACUUUCAGCGGGGAGGCGUUACCCGCAGAAGAAGCACCGGCUAACUCCGUGCCAGCAGCCGCGGUAAUUC
rnacentral:rRNA from 1 species